rnacentral:rRNA from 1 species
UGCCAGCCGCCGCGGUAAUACGGGGGGUGCAAGCGUUAAUCGGAGUUAUUGGGCGUAAAGGGUGCGUAGGUGGUUCAUUAAGUUAUCUGGGAAAUUCCUGGGCUCAACCUAGGAAUGUCGGGUGAUACUGGUGAACUUGAGUAUAGUAGAGGGUAGUGGAAUUUCCGGUGUAGCGGUGAAAUGCGUAGAGAUCGGAAGGAACACCAGUGGCGAAGGCGGCUACCUGGACUAAUACUGACACUGAGGCACGAAAGCGUGGGGAGCAAACAGGAUUAGAUA